GUGUCAGCAGCCGCGGUAAGACAGAGGGUGCAAACGUUGUUCGGAAUUACUGGGCGUAAAGCGCGUGUAGGCUGCCCCGCAAGUCGGAUGUGAAAGCCCUGGGCUCAACCUAGGAAGUGCAUUCGAAACUGCGGGGCUCGAGUCCUGGAGAGGAAGGCGGAAUUCUCGGUGUAGAGGUGAAAUUCGUAGAUAUCGAGAGGAACACCGGUGGCGAAGGCGGCCUUCUGGACAGUGACUGACGCUGAGACGCGAAAGCGUGGGGAGCAAACAGGAUUAGAAACCCCAGUAGUCC
rnacentral:rRNA from 1 species